rnacentral:tRNA from 1 species
AAGGGGGGCUAUUAAAACGGUUACUGCUAAUAAUCGGUUGAAGUUAUAUAAGCUUCGGUUCCUUU